ACGUAGGGUGCGAGCGUUAAUCGGAAUUACUGGGCGUAAAGCGUGCGCAGGCGGCUCUAUAAGACAGAUGUGAAAUCCCCGGGCUUAACCUGGGAACUGCGUUUGUAACUGUAGGACUUGAGUGCGGCAGAGGGGGGUGGAAUUCCACGUGUAGCAGUGAAAUGCGUAGAGAUGUGGAGGAAUACCGAUGGCGAAGGCAGCCUCCUGGGCUGACACUGACACUCAUGUACGAAAGCGUGGGUAGCAAACAG
rnacentral:rRNA from 1 species